rnacentral:rRNA from 1 species
UACGGAGGGGGCUAGCGUUGUCCGAAGUUACUGGGCGUAAAGCGCGCGUAGGCGGGUUGGUAAGUCCACUGUGAAAGCCCGGAGCUCAACUCCGGAGGGUCGGUGGAUACUGCCAGUCUUGAAGGUGCUAGGGGGAGAUGGGAAUUACCGGUGUAGCGGUGAAAUGCGUAGAUAUCGGUAGGAACACCAGUGGCGAAGGCGGUCUCCUGGGGCAUUCUUGACGCUGAGGCGCGAAAGCUGGGGGAGCGAACGGG